rnacentral:lncRNA from 1 species
CAGCCUGAUGCAAAUGAAUCCUUUGAACUUGAAAGCCCCAUCUUGAAGAUGGAAAGGCCCCCGCAUGGACAAAGUCCCUGAAUCACUGCCUAGAGGAGACUUAAGGUAACCACACUGACUUCUUUCAGUAAAUCAGGGGCGAGAGAGCCAUCGGCAUGGGAGGCAGUUACAAAGGACUCCGCAGAGACAUUCAGUGGCCCUCUGGCCACUCUGUGUUACCAAUAUGCUGAAACCAAUACCCCACGGGUUGUGAAAUACCCAUUCACCACCUAUAAAAGCAAGACAUUUUCAAGUGCUGCUUUUCUUUAAAUAUACUCUCCUUCCCUUUAAGUGUUACAUAACACAACUAUCAUCCCAUGUGAGGCUUAAUUUAAAGGAAACCAUAAGUUGAGUUAAUUCACUGUGAAGGGUUAUGGAAGUUAUAUUUAUUCCAGAAAGUCAGCAGCUGUGUAAUGGGGUGUCUAUAAUAUGCCUGACCUACUGCCAGAUUCUGGGAACACAAAUAUGAAUAGGAUCCAGUCUCUGUCCUUAAAAAGUUCUAUGGCCUCCUCAGAGAGAGAUGUGCUCAAAAAGUAAGUGAAAGCAGCGUUACAAGUAUUAAGGAAGAAGGAAGUACAUGAGGCGUUUAGUCAUCAGCUCUAAUGAGGAGGGAGUUAUCUGUAGGGAGGGGCAGAGGACAGAGGUUGCUGCUUGAUAAAAGAGACCCUGUCUGCCCAUCAAAUAAACCCUAGAAGCUGCUAUCAAGGAGACAGGCUGAGACCAAGAAGACCCUAGAAGCUGCUGUCUACCAAGGAGACAGGUGGUCUGGUCAGAGAAAGCAGGAAAAAUAGGGGCAGCCAUACACAGUGGCAUGAGACAAUCAAGGUUAGGGUCACUGGAGACACCUGGACUUGGCUGAGAAAUGGACUCCAAGGGAGAGAAAUGAGAGGCAGGCCGGGGGUCGGGAUAGUGCCUUUGCUGCCCAGUGGGUCAUGUGAAGGACGCAGACUCUAGACUGAAACAACAGAGUAAGCAUGAUCCGAUUUGCACUUUUGAAGAUCACCGUGGCAACCAUGUGGAGGACGAGCUGGAGGUGUAGAGGCUGGCAGCGGAGAGAACAGUCAGGAGGCGAGAGCAGCCGUCCAGGUGGGAGGGAUAGGGCCUGAUCUCAGGCAGCAGCAGUGGGGAUGUAAAGAAAGAGAAAGAGGGCAACUGUUAGGAAUGUAGAACUCUGGGCUGGAAAUAAUGAAAUCUGGAUUCUGGUACAGUCUCUCUAGGGGACCUCAGAAAGUCAUUCCUUUUCAGGACCCUGUCUCCCAACUUGUCAGGUAAGAGGGAGAUGUUUUGUGGCUGUAGGAAAAUGCACCUUAUUCAUGUGUUUGGUUAUUAUUUAGUCAUUGGGUAAGUCAGUCAGGGAAAGCACUCAUUCCUUGAUUCAAAUUUGGGGGUCUUUCUAUGAAAAAGCAAAAUGGUAGUACAAUCAACUAAACGAACGGGAAGAGGAGACUUGAAGUCCAUGAACAUUUGAUGAUCAAGAAUUAGGUGCAAAAAUGUGCAUCACCACGUGCUAUAGAUAAAAUGGAAAUGACAAAGACAUGGUUUCUGCUCUUUGGGAGGGAAAUGAAGCAGCUUGUGAUUAAUUCAACAAAUUCUGACUGAAUGCCAUGCACAUCUAUCACAAUAAGGAAACAGAGGAUUAAGACAUAGUUCCUGACACGAAAGAGCUCAAAGCCACAAGUGGAAGAAGUGAUACUGCUAUUAUUCGACAGCUGCAAAACAUCUGGGAGCCCAGAGAUAAGAGAAGCUGUUCUAAAUCCACCUUUGACCUGUGUCACAGAAAAGAGAAGUACGAAUGCCCCUUUCCAUGAUCCAGAACUGCUAAGAGCUCCCUUCAUGAAAUCAGAUAAGUCAUUCACUUUAAAUGAAUAAGACCUUUCCACAGGUGAGGCCAUGUAUUAUGUGUCCAUAUAAGAGCAACAAGACAUGCUCUUUGCCCUCAAAGAAACCAGGCUGGUGUACAGAACAUUUUGUACUGUAGGAGGAGGAAGCAGAGAAGGUUGAUUUCUACUCUCUACCAUGCGAUCCAAAGUGCCUUGAACAGUGUCGAGCAUACAGUAGGUGCUCAGUAAAGACUCAACUAAAGUGAACUAUCAAAUUUUUACUUAAAGAAAAAGUGUUUGUUACUUAAAGAAAAUGAGGUUGACUCUAAAAUAACAACGCAUACUUGACAUUUAAUUAUUUAGAGAAUCACUUAGGAAAAAAAUACUUUUAUGUAAGAAGUCAUGAGUAAUUAAUCAAACCACAGGCAACGUACUAUAAUACUAAUUCAAAGAGGUCUACAUUCCCAGAGUCUUGAGAAGCAGAUGGCACCUAAUUUGCUUUAAGAGGCUUUGAUUGACCACACUUGGUGCUUUCCUCCAGGGUGAGUUCAGUUUUGGGAGGUCUCAUUGUAAGACAUUAACGCCCAACCCCUUAAAUAAAGCUUCUAAACAUCUAAUCUGUAAAAACCAUACCUGGGAAUGAAAUGGAGUGUGUUUAGAAAGAAACGGAGUGUGUCAGGGGUAGGGAAGGAGAGUUCCACCAGCAGCCUGGCUGAGAGAAGCUGGUGACUUGACAAAUGAGAAAACAUAUGUAAAAAGCUUUGAAAAAAAUUAAAGGUGUUAACAAUGCAGGUAGGAUUAAAAAAGAACAUGCACCACACUACUGGUUCUGUUUGUUUGUUUGUUUGUUUUCCUAAACAGACCCAGAAUACUGAGAUCCAGCUGGUAAGAAUCACAACAUGUAAUUUAAAUCUUUGACCAGUAAGAAAUGAUUCUAAAGACUCCCAAUAGAGUUGGCUCAUGGACUCUGCACCCUUUUAUAAGUGCAAAGAUGGCCACCCUGCUGCCUACCAUUGGGGAGACAAAGCUAUGGUGGACACAGCAAUUUCACCUAAGGGUUUUUGCUCACUUCUGGCUUGGGUUGACAUCUGCCUUCUGUCCCCUACUAAGCUAGCUGUUAAGACCUUGGACAAGUCGCUUAACUUCACUAAAGCCUCAAUUCCCAUCUGUAAAUGACAACAAUAAUGCUUAUCUCAUAAGGUUGUUAAUGGGUAGUACAUGAGAUAUUAGACGUAAAAAGCUUUGUACAGUGCCUGGUAUAUAAUAAAUAUGGUAACUUUUAUUAGUUAUUACAGUUUCAUAGUUAACCAUUAGUGUUAUAAUUAGUAUUACUGAAAGGGAAAUUUUCUUUCCAAAAUUGGUUAAAAAACUUGUUUCAAGCAUUUCUAAGACUGAAAUAAAAUAUAUGGGUGAUGGA